AUGAAUCAGGAUUCACAUCCUGCACGCAGGCAGCCCUACAUGUGGAAUCCAGCGUCCCUGGUCUCCCUGCACUCUCCAUGUGGUCUGAGAGGCGCUGCUGACAUUUCUGAGAUCCCGCGUGGGUUCUGGGAAGCUCUGGACAGACUGGAAGAGGAAAGGAAGGAGAGAGGAAGACCAACUCCUAAGCAGCUUGAGUCUCAUGGGAGUUUAAUUAGAGAAAGAAAAUCUCAUCUUUGUUCACACAGUCGCUACGUGCAACCCAGAGAAGGGCACACGGAGGUGAAAGAGGAUAUGUUCCUUUCCUUGCCUGCGAUCAACAAUGCUAACACCCCAGGAAGCAUGGAAGUGACCAAUGGCAAUUCUAUUUCUCUGUCGGAUAUCAUGAUUCUGGUCAAUUUGCUGCCCAGGCACUGAGUUUCUCACCAUGGCCGCGUUCUCUUGCUGGCUGUCCAGCUACCCUUUGGGCAGUGGAUUUCCGAUUCCCUUGUACAAGACACUGUAUGUUCUUCAACUCUGGAGCUGCGUGUCAGACAUAACAUUGCCAAGAAUUCCUGAUGGAUCUGCUGCAACCUUCUUCCUUGAUAAUUCAGCCUAGAAAGAUGGUGUGUCACCACAGAGAAUAACACAGUUAACACAUGUUUAUUUUUGGGGAGUGGGGCAUUAAAGCAUGGCUCUAUCCAGUUAUAAACCCUUGGUGUAUUUGACCUGGAUGAAAAAUAAAAUAUUGCUGUAUUACUUGGCUUUUUUCA
rnacentral:lncRNA from 1 species